rnacentral:rRNA from 1 species
AUUGAACGCUGGCGGCAGGCUUAACACAUGCAAGUCGAGCGGGGGAAGGUAGCUUGCUACCGGACCUAGCGGCGGACGGGUGAGUAAUGCUUAGGAAUCUGCCUAUUAGUGGGGGACAACAUCUCGAAAGGGAUGCUAAUACCGCAUACGUCCUACGGGAGAAAGCAGGGGAUCUUCGGACCUUGCGCUAAUAGAUGAGCCUAAGUCGGAUUAGCUAGUUGGUGGGGUAAAGGCCUACCAAGGCGACGAUCUGUAGCGGGUCUGAGAGGAUGAUCCGCCACACUGGGACUGAGACACGGCCCAGACUCCUACGGGAGGCAGCAGUGGGGAAUAUUGGACAAUGGGGGGAACCCUGAUCCAGCCAUGCCGCGUGUGUGAAGAAGGCCUUAUGGUUGUAAAGCACUUUAAGCGAGGAGGAGGCUACUUUAGUUAAUACCUAGAGAUAGUGGACGUUACUCGCAGAAUAAGCACCGGCUAACUCUGUGCCAGCAGCCGCGGUAAUACAGAGGGUGCGAGCGUUAAUCGGAUUUACUGGGCGUAAAGCGUGCGUAGGCGGCUUAUUAAGUCGGUUGUGAAAUCCCCGAGCUUAACUUGGGAAUUGCAUUCGAUACUGGUGAGCUAGAGUAUGGGAGAGGAUGGUAGA